rnacentral:lncRNA from 1 species
AGGAAUUUUCCCUGCAAGCAGAUGCCCUGAUGUCCAACCAGAAGAAGUGAAACUGGCGCUGGGUCUGGAGAGCUGAAGACCCGUGGUCAGCUUCUGUUGCUGCCAUCUGCCAUUGCAUUUUGGUUGCUUGCUUUUGUUUUGCAAGAAGCAUGGCCUCUGUCUCUGAUCUGC